UUUUUUAGUCUUUUUCAGAUCAUUAUACGUUUGAAAUACAUUUGGAAAUUAUCGAUCAUUCUGGAGCAAAACCGUGAAAAUAUUCUGCAAGAACAAUCCGGAGACCAAAAACAAUACCUAAUUCGUGGUUA
rnacentral:sRNA from 1 species